UUUGCUGUAUGCAGUAUAGUUGGAGUUUGCAUAUAUGGCGACCUGCCGAUUAUCAAUGACUUUCUGAGUUGGUCGUUGUUCCGGCCCCUCGGGAGGUUAUCCUAUGGGAUCUACUUGCUUCAUGCCAUGUUCCUGGAACGGAUAAUAUUUUCUACCAGAGCCCCGUUGAAGUACGAUCAUCUGGAAUUUUUCAUAAUCACUUGCGGCGCG
rnacentral:lncRNA from 1 species